CUUUCAGUCGGAUGUUUGC
rnacentral:ncRNA from 2 species